UCUCUCUCUCUCUCUCUCUCCUGUAGUUCUCACAGCCCCUCUGCAACGAGGCCCAGAAAUAGACAUAAAGACAAAGACAGAGAGAGAAAACUCACUCUCUUCUUCUUUUGGAGAGAGAAAAUCCAAAGAGAAGGAUCUAUGGAGGUCUCUAGCCCUUUGUCAUCGAUAUUAACAGAGUCGGUUUUUGAGGACAAAAUAUAGAUUGAUAGGGACCUUUUUUGGGUUGUGUGGAUUUGGUGCGGUAAAUUGGAAUUGGGUUUUUGGAGAAUGUGGGUAAUGUGGAGAUAAUUUGGGUUGGAUUGCUGUGCAAAGCGGGUGUAGAGGAAGGGUUUUUGUUUGUUGUAGAAAUGGCUGAUGCAGCAGGGUUAAUGGAAGCUGCUGGGACUAGAUUUAGUUCCUUGGAGUUGAUUGGGAGAGGAUCAUUUGGCGAUGUCUACAAAGCGUUUGAUAAGGAGCUUAACAAAGAAGUUGCUAUAAAAGUCAUUGAUUUGGAAGAAUCGUAAGUAUAUAGCCUUGCUUGUUUUUGAUAUUUGUUUUCUAGACUCAUAUUACUCAAUAUUUACUGAUCACUCUUGCAUGAUCUAAAUCUUCAUCCUUUCUUUACCUCUCCAUUUGAUAAUUCCCUGGACUAAGAGGAACUGAAUUACCUAUCAUGUACAGUUUCCUCAAUCAGUUCAGUCUUACAUAAAAAACUUUCUGCAGUUUUCCAACUUAUGUUCACAAGCGGACUUUAGAGUUAGUUUAUGACUUUGUGCAGUUAAAAAAUCUCCUAGAAAUGGCAGUUUAAAAAAACUCCUAGAAAUGGCAAUAACUAAGAAGUUGCUUUGCAAUUUGCUGCAAGAUGUAAAUAUUGGUUAUAUGAUGUCAAUGAAGCAGCACUUAGUCACAUGCUGAUAUGACUGAGAUCAUGAAAUACAUCUCUUACUGGAAAUUUAGAUAGUUGUGGGGAACCAUUGGCAAUAUUUGCAGAGUAUAGUAAUAUUUCUACUGUUUAUUGUUUUGCUUCUUGGCGUUGCAAGAUUUUUGUUGUGUAUGACACACUUCUCACUUCUUAGUCUUUAUUUGGAUAUUGUUAUUUGAUAUUUCUAAAAGGCUUUUGAUUUUGUCUUCUUUAGUGAGGAUGAAAUUGAGGACAUUCAGAAGGUAUUACUUCAUAUUCUUGCCUGUCUAAUUUGUUAUGUAUGAAAUUGCUAAAAAAUUAUGUUGCUCACGUAUCUAAUUUUUAUGUCAGGAAAUUUCAGUUUUGUCACAAUGCCGUUGUCCAUAUAUUACGGAGUACUAUGGUUCUUAUCUUAACCAGACUAAACUAUGGAUAAUAAUGGAAUACAUGGCUGGUGGCUCAGUUGCUGACCUACUUCAAUCAGGUCCUCCAUUGGAUGAAAUGUCAAUUGCAUGUAUUUUACGUGACUUGCUGCAUGCUGUUGAAUAUUUACACAAUGAAGGAAAAAUUCACAGAGAUAUUAAAGCGGCAAACAUUUUAUUGAGUGAGAAUGGUGAUGUUAAGGUAUAUCCUUUUUCUCAAUGGCAUGUACAAUUCACCUGAAUUAUUUGUAAGAGAAAUGAAGAAGGAUAUGCAGUAAUGCAACAGGAGUUAUGUGCUUUCAUUUUUAGUAUUCCAAGUUACUUUUGUGACCUUGUGACAGGUUGCAGAUUUUGGUGUUUCUGCGCAAUUAACAAGAACAAUAUCUAGGAGAAAGACUUUUGUAGGAACUCCAUUUUGGAUGGCGCCGGAGGUAAUUCAAAAUUCAGAGGGGUACAAUGAGAAGGCAGAUAUAUGGUCACUGGGUAUAACUGCAAUUGAGAUGGCAAAGGGGGAACCCCCACUUGCGGAUCUUCACCCUAUGAGGGUUCUUUUUAUCAUACCCCGAGAAAAUCCCCCACAGCUCGAUGAGCAUUUUUCUCGUCUGAUGAAAGAAUUUGUUUCAUUGUGUUUAAAGAAGGUUCCUGCCGAGCGGCCAAGUGCUAAGGAGCUUUUGAAGCAUCGAUUUAUUAGAAAUGCUAGAAAGAGCCCAAGGCUUCUGGAAAGAAUAAGAGAGCGUCCAAAGUAUCAAAUAAAGGAUGCAGAAACUCCCAGGAAUGGUCCAAGAGCAGUUGCAGAGUCAUCCGAUACUGUGAAGGUGACUAGAGAUGUAGGAGCUGAAGGAAUUGUUCGAGCCAGUGGUCAAGGAAAGCCCCUCAGAAAUGCUGGAUGGGACUUCAGUAUUGGUGGAGCACAGAGUACUGGAACCAUAAGAAGUGCUGUUCGACCUCCUCAGGAAUCACCAGAAAUAUCAUUUGGUAGAGAUGCUAGGGAUCCACAUCACGAUGAACGUCAGGAUAAUUCUUAUGAUUAUGAGGAUUUAUCUGUAAGUGGGUCAGGAACUGUUGUUAUACGGACUCCCAGAGGAUCUCAGUCAUCUACCAUGUUUCGAGAUCAAAGCAGUCUGUCUAGUAGCACAGUUGGUUCUUUUGAAGAUGCUUGUACUAGUGGAACUGUUGUCUUCCGUGGCCAACCUGAUGAUUCUGAUUCUCCUUGGACUCCAAAAUCCAGACUGGGAAUGCAAGAGAGAACUUCAAGUGCAUCACUGGAAGACAGUGCAGUAAAUCUUGCUGAGGCAAAGGCUGCAAUGCAAACAGGAUUGCGGAAAGGAAAUGCCAGGGAAAGGUCUGCUCUAAACAAGCUCAACUACGAUGGGCAUGAAAAUAGAAGAAGAGAGCAGAUGACAAGCAGCUCCGAUUCAUCCAGAAGUUCUCGUGACUACUAUGAUGCACAAAGAGUAUUUCCAAGAUCACGCCAAGCAAGUGAAGAUGAAGAAAGUGCAAGAAUAGCUUCAUCAUCAGCACCUCUAUCAGUUUUGUUUCUGCCAUCCUUAAAAGAGGUGAGCUACCAGGUAAUGCUGUCCACUUGUCUUUUUGCUAAUUGGUGGGAUAAGUAUAAUCUAGUACUGUUAUUCCCAUAUAUUAAAUUUUAAUUUGUAGUGCCAUUACAAAACUGCUUGGACAAAUACUGCAUUGAUCCAUGUCGAAAAUGCUUAUUAUGCCUUUUACAUUUGUAGACAUAAAACUCAAGUUUGGUGCAGGAUUACCAUUCACAUUAAAGUAAAGCCUUUAAAUCAGUAUCAACUAUCAAAGUAAUAUUUGGCAAUAGUGGCAGAAGGACUUCGAUUUUCUAAUCAGCUAUACCACUUAUUCAUAUUCUUAUUAGCCAAGCCAAAAUGGGGAACUUAAUCUGCCAUAAAUUCAUUAAGCAUUAUAUGAAACGGGAAAAAUUAUGGUUUGGUUUUCUCAAAUUAUUUUUUACAAGAAUAUUGUUAUUAGUUUGCCUUAGUUCGGUCAACCAAAGAGCCUACAUUAUUCCAUUUGAAUUGAGAAGGUAGUAGGUAAACAACAGAAACAGGUGAUCUGUGCUGAAAACAAUGUGGGGCACCCUCAGCAAGAGGGUUAAUGGACAUGGCAUUGUGCAUGGAUUACUGGACAUAACUAGUGAUAGCAUAAUGGUUUAUACAGGAAUCUCAAAUCAUAUUUAUCCAGAAAUAAAGAAAAAACAACCAUCUCGUCUUUUAUUAUCCAUAGGAGUACCCAUAGUUUUAAAAGCUCUCAGCUUCAUAUAGCUUCUAAUAGCUUCAUCUCUACAAUAUAGGUGGUAGCUGAUGACUCUGAAGGAUCAGUUGUGCAUGCUGUUACAAAUUCACUUGUAAAUAUGGAGCGAACGAAGCCUGGAUCAGCUGAACUCCUUGUUAGAAAUUUGCUUCAGCGAUUGUCAAGUUCAAAGGAUUCUUCAAUGAAGGAUCUACAGGAGUUAGCAGGUCGACUGUUCUCUAAGGGCAAGGCAGCCCCAGAAGAAACACAAAAUGCAAAUGCAGAAGCUGAAAACAAGAAGAAGCAACAAAAUAAGGAAUACAAUUCAAAUGCUAAUUUAAGCCCGCUUGCGAGGUUUUUACUCUCAAGAUGGCAAAGCCAAGUUUAACGGGACGUCAACCCAACUUAAAAGGGGUUGGAGCUGGAUUACAACUUUGUUUUGUAGCGUGUUUUGGUUUAUGCAUUCUUUCAGAGUUGAUGUACAUAUCAUUGUAAGAAAUUGUGCAUUUAAUAUCUAUUUUAUAUUAUUAUAAUUAUUUUUACUCUUUAUAGUUUGAUUUGGAGAGGCGAAUUGCUGUAUAAUUAGGGGUUUGCUAUUGUUAUUAUUGACAAUGUAAUUUUAGCAUAACAUUAAUUGUAUUUAUUAAUACAUUUUGGUAAAAAAUUUUGUUCUUAAUAUUUG
rnacentral:misc_RNA from 1 species